rnacentral:pre_miRNA from 1 species
CUUGUACUCCCUCCGUCCGAAAAUACUUGUCAUUGAAAUGGGUGUAUCUAGAUGUAUUUUAGUUCUAGACACAUCCAUUUUGAUGACAAGUAAUUCUGGACGGAGGGAGUACUUG